rnacentral:rRNA from 1 species
UAGGGAAUCUUCGGCAAUGGGGGGAACCCUGACCGAGCAACGCCGCGUGAGUGAAGAAGGUUUUCGGAUCGUAAAGCUCUGUUGUUAAGGAAGAACGAGUGUGAGAAUGGAAAGUUCAUGCUGUGACGGUACUUAACCAGAAAGGGACGGCUAACUACGUGCCAGCAGCCGCGGUAAUACGUAGGUCCCGAGCGUUGUCCGGAUUUAUUGGGCGUAAAGCGAGCGCAGGCGGUUAGAUAAGUCUGAAGUUAAAGGCAGUGGCUCAACCAUUGUAGGCUUUGGAAACUGUUUAACUUGAGUGCAGAAGGGGAGAGUGGAAUUCCAUGUGUAGCGGUGAAAUGCGUAGAUAUAUGGAGGAACACCGGUGGCGAAAGCGGCUCUCUGGUCUGUAACUGACGCUGAGGCUCGAAAGCGUGGGUAGCAAACAGG